CAUUGGACGAUAAGGCUGUAUUCAUAUGCUUAAAAAUAAGUGCUUCCCUGGACCAGGGCCUUACUCGCUCAAGUGAAACUUCUCACUCGUGUUUUGGGCCUUCUUUUCAUUCUUCGUAACUCCUUCUUGCUCGAAUACCAGGGCUCCUAAAUGGGUAGGGUUCUUACUUGAACCAUUGACAAACAAGUUGGACUUUCAAAAGCAGGAUCACCCUUAGGGGUCCCCAUCUUAAGGCAUUUUCUCCUGUGGCAUAAGGGCAGCAUUGAAACUUGCAAAAGCAGAUGUAAGUUGGACUGUUAAGCUAGAUUAUUUCAUUGGUUUCAGUUGAACCAAAACUUUUUACGUGUGCUCAUUUUUAAUGCAGUUGAUCUUCCAUGAGCUUGCACCGUGAGACGUCACUCACAUCUGUGCAAAGUAGGUGUAAAAACACCACAACAAGCCUUCACAGAUGGCAAAUUCUAUCUGGGUUGCACUUUACAUGCCUAUCUAGUCUUCACAGGUUUAAAUUACUAUACAAGGUGCAAAGAGGCAUCUGUCUUUUUCGUAAGCAGGACCAUGACUCAAAGCUAAUGAUGCUCAGUAGGCUAAAAAACAGUUGUCUGUUUCCUUUACCCAAGACCCCGCUCUGAAAUAUCAAGUUCAUUCCCAUUUCAAGAAAUCCAGCAAAUGUGUAAAAGGAGGCUCUGAAUGAGAACUGUGUUAGUUAAAAUGUUUGUGACAUCCUCUCCCAUAUAUACAUGCAGAGUAGUUUUCUCAAGACAAGGUAGCUAAUUUCUGCCAGUGUACUGUUUACAGUGUCGAUUGCUGAUUAUUUUUAAACUUUUAGAUGUAGAAUGAUUUUUUUAUGCUUCAAGAACAUUUUCAUGAUUUAACGAAGAAAGCAGUGCUUCAGAAGACACAGGGUGUAUCCUCCCACUCUUUUAGUGUCAUCAGACAAAUCAAGAAACAGUUUAAGGAACCUGAUGCUUAACUUGAGGCUCAGAAUUUAGGCUACAACACUUUAAAAAGAAGUUUUCAUAUUACUUAGGGAUGGUUUGCCUUGCACUGAGACUCCCUCUAUAAAGGAAUACAUGAAGAAAACCAACUUUUCUAAGAAAGACAUGAAAGUUAACAUCUUGUGUAUUUUCAUUAUAGUACUAUAUAUAUACAUAUAUAAACUAUUUCGAUGAGAAGAAAGGACAGAAUCAUCUGUAAUUAUGUAAUUCAUGAUUGUAACAGCACUGAAGUUAACAUGUACACAUAUGUACAGUAGCUAUUUCAACAGUUACAGUGUAGUUACAUGUACUUCCCUGUAACAUAGCAGUUAUAGUGUAAUUUAGUGCCACUUAUUGUAAAGUGUUACCAAAAGGAUAAUGGAGUUCUUACCUUUACGAUUCCAUUCAAAUUAAAGGUAAGUUUAUUAAAUUAGCACUGUAAAUCUGGUAUUCCAUUUCUUGAUUAAGGAGGUGAUGUAAAACUUCAUGUUCACACUGYAACUUUCCCCACCGCUUAUCCAGACUCCUCCAAGUGUCCAAUCUCUACAGUCCUGGGAACUGGUAAUCUGUGAUGAGCAUACCAAAAAUCCAGCUGCUUCAACUCAAAUUGAAUAAGCUGUCUAAUGGAGAAAAACAGACAAACAAACAAACAAACAAACAAAUAUGAGUAAUGCUUUUUAUUAAGUGGCACAAAGUACACACUAAAAACUAUGCAAAAAUAUAGGUAAAUACAGUGUACUUACAUGUAAGUAUCUUGUACUUGCUGUGUAUGGAUAUUGGAAAAGCAUGUAAUUAUAAUAUGCAUUUUGAUUUUUUUUCAAGAAGCGGAUGACCCCUGACAAUCACAAGGAGUAACUGAAAGAUUUCAGGUGCAAAGCUAAGCCUGAUGGGGUCAGCACUUCAGCACUUCCCCUGUGUUCAAGGUCAAGCCAGCAGUGUUUCCCGUGUGAGCUCUGAUCUCACCUUUCAGCACAAACUACAGAUAGCCUUACCCUGCCCUUAUGAUAGUGCUGAAAAACACCAAUGCUUUUUUGGUCUGAACACAUUCAUUCUCUUAAGCCUUGUUCUACAAGGAAAUCAUUAAAGGGUUUUCAUAAUAGGAUCUAAAGGAGAUUUUUAAAGUUAAAACUUUUAAAGCAAAUAAAAGUUAUGAUCAUUGACCAUUUGCGUUGAUUAUGAAGAGAAAGAAAACCUUUAAUUGUUGGGCUGCAUUCUUUAUCACUUCCCCCCUUUCCCUCUUUUCUGUGCAUAUUUCUUUGUGUUAGUAAAUACACAGUUGCACAUACUGCCCUUUUUUCAAUGAAAACAGAUUUCCUUAUACGUCUAUAGAGUUUCCAUAGAAAUAUGCAAAUAUUGCCUACAGUCAUCUUGCUUCUGCCUAAAUAGUGAGCCAAGAGAGUGAACUCCUGGAUUACUGGAUACGUAUAUGUCUUUCUUCCAUAAAAGUGUAUACAAUACGCCUACUGAUUUCAAAAGAGCAAGGCUCAAGUCCUUACUGCACAUCUGAGUUGCUAUUUAGUUCUUUUCCAACAGAAUAAUAAAGCUUUCCUUGUGUAUCCUGUACUUUUAGCCUAGAUAUUUUAUAACUGCAAAAAACCUUCAGUCCGGCAGGAAGUUUCCUAGAACAAAUAAUACAGCAUAAUUUGUAAAAGGACUAUAACAGCCUCAUCUAUUCAUAGUCAGUGUAAGUGCUUUCUCCUAGGAACUCUAAUGUACUCUCCUUUUACACUGGCAAUUCAUAGUCUUUGGAAGGAUAUUUUAGAAUAUUUCAGAAAUACAACCACCAACCUGUAAACAAAAUCAACGGGAAUUAAACAUAUUGCACUACUGAUGGAGAUACAUUCACUUCAUUUAAUUUCCUCAUUAGUAACUCUAAGCAGACAAAAUGCAUAUUGUAAUGUUAGGUACAUGACACUUGCAUGUUGCUAUGCCUAUAUACUUACAAAGUAUUCAAUGUGUACUUAGUGGCGCUUAAAAAAUGUCAUGUACAAUUCUUCUAAACAUUCUUACAGGGUUCCCAUUUGCACUUCAUCUUCCAGAAAAGUCUUGUCAGAAAAAUGUCUGAUGAAUAUUAUUGAAAAAAAAUAAAAUUUCAAUUUUAGUUAUCUGUUGGACAUUUCUGAAUUGUCUAUUCAUUUAAUAUAUCUCUUGAUGCUUGCCAAUUUGGCAGUGGAGUUGAUUUAGA